rnacentral:rRNA from 14 species
AGCUAAAUAAGGGCGUAUGGGGAAUGCCUAGGCUCUCAGAGGCGAAGAAGGACGCGAUAAGCUGCGAAAAGCUGCGGGGAUCGGCACACACGAUAUGAUCCGCGGAUAUCCGAAUGGGGCAACCCGGCAUGUUGAAGACAUGUCAUGCGAAAGCAAGCAAACCCGGUGAACUGAAACAUCUAAGUAGCCGGAGGAGGAGAAAACAAAAGUGAUUCCGGUAGUAGCGGCGAGCGAA